UACGAAGGUGGCAAGCGUUGUUCGGAUUUACUGGGCGUAAAGGGAGCGUAGGUGGUGGGGUAAGCCCCGCGGGAAAGCUCCAGGCUUAACCUGGAAAGGUCGCGGGGGGACUGCUCCGCUGGAGGACGGGAGAGGAGCGCGGAAUUCCCGGUGUAGCGGUGAAAUGCGUAGAGAUCGGGAGGAAGGCCGGUGGCGAAGGCGGCGACCUGGACAGAUACUGACACUCAACUACGAAAAGCGUGGGGGAGCAAACAGGG
rnacentral:rRNA from 1 species